CAGCCGCCGCGGUAAUACGUAGGUGGCAAGCGUUGUCCGGAAUUAUUGGGCGUAAAGGGCUCGCAGGCGGUUUCUUAAGUCUGAUGUGAAAGCCCCCGGCUCAACCGGGGAGGGUCAUUGGAAACUGGGAAACUUGAGUGCAGAAGAGGAGAGUGGAAUUCCACGUGUAGCGGUGAAAUGCGUAGAGAUGUGGAGGAACACCAGUGGCGAAGGCGACUCUCUGGUCUGUAACUGACGCUGAGGAGCGAAAGCGUGGGGAGCAAACAGGAUUAGAUACCCCGGUAGUCCCUGUCUCUUAUAC
rnacentral:rRNA from 1 species